UCAGUCCAAUAAAGUUAGUCAAUCUUGAACCACUAUAAACAAUAGUGAUAAGAAAUGAACCGGAGAUGAUCUGUACGUUUCCUAUAAAUACAGGCUUUUGCCUUCUAAAUUUUUUGUGUCUUAGAGAGGUUAUAAUCGAUAGCCUUGCUUAGCUAGAGAGUUUGUGUGGAGAAAACUAAUUUCAUUGUGAGAGAAGGAGGUUUUAUUUGUACUGAGGGAUUUGGAAUUGUGUGUUUUUCACCGCCUUUUUCUAUAUUUUAUCGGUAAAUUUGGUCUCCGUUUAUCAAGUUUGUCACGAAAAGACAAAAUAGAAAUGGCAAAAUUUCAUUCAACACCAAAGAAUGGCGGGCUUCCAUUAUUUACCCGUGCUUCAAUCCUACCAAUCAUGAUUGUCACCUUCUUUCUUAUGCAAAUGGUUUUGAUUGACGCAGAUCACAAUUUGAGGGUGGUUGUACGAAAAGUUUACCGUCAGCCCCCUCCCCCUCCAAAACAGGCAAGUACCAUUCAUACGGACAUUUACCCUCGGCCCCCUCUGCGACAUCAGCCACCACCACCGGCAGGGGGCACCCACCGAUAGACUUCCACAGUUCCACACGGAAUGAUAAGUCCAGCAGCAACCUCUAGUAGUCCACAUAUUUACUCGUUUUGAAUGCUAGGCAACAUAAUAUUGUUCAGGGAAUGAUUUAUUAUUUCAGUGGCGACCAUAGAAUAUGAUAAAUGAUAAUUGUAGCUACACAUAUCUCCUAGUGUUGUUGGGUAGAGUCCAAGUGGAUGGCAAGUUGAAGACAAUCAACACAAAAUACUUAAAGUCAGUGUUAUAUAUUUGGAAUAACGAUUUUAUUUAUUUGGUUCAGAAAAUUGUAAUGGACUCGUAGAGUUUUCAAAAACAAUACAAUUCAGUCCUAUAAGUUACGUUAAUAUUUUAUGGAU